rnacentral:lncRNA from 1 species
UUUUUUUUUUUUUUUUUCUUUUUUGGCCGCCCACAGCAUAUGAAGCUCCUGGGCCAGGGAUCAGAUCCAAGGUGCAGUUGUGACCUAAGCCACAGCUGUGGCAACUUGGCAUCCUAGGCCACUAUGCUGGGCCAGGGAUCGAACCCAUGUCCCAGUGCUCCCAAGACGCUGCCGAUCCUACAGCGGGAAUUCCUGAGGAGUCCUUUCUUCACUCAGAGGUCCAGAAUCAGAGAGUGGCAAGGAGAAAGGGGAAUGGAGAUGGGUUUGACUGAAUUGCUUGGUUACAUUACCAUUAAGGUGGCCAGGAGUUCCCUGGUGGCCUAGCUGGUUAAGGAUCUGGUAUUGCUGCUGCUGUCAUGCAGGUUUGAUCCCUGGCCUGGGAACUACCCCAUGCCACAGGCAUGGCAGAAAAAAAAAAAGAAAGAAAAAGGAAAAAAAAGAUUAAGGCUGCCAGAAAAAAUACAUUUGAAUUCCAGACACACACAAAAAAUAUAGAAAAUAGUGUUUUAGUAUAAAAUAUGUCCCCUGUAAUAUUUGUCCAAGUGCUUCAGGGAACAUAUUUAUCCUCUAAAACUAUCCUGGGUGUGUCUUUGUGCAAUGUGGCAACCCUGAUUUAGAUGGAAAACUGAUGUUCUGAGAGUUCACAUCACUAAAAACAGUUGUGAGGCCACUGAAGGAACUAAAUGAUGUCGCUGCUUCCUCUGGCCUCUGCUCCCUCCCCUGCUCAAUUACUCCUGCAACAAGUACCGGCUGCUUCUCAAACUAAUGAAAAGUAGAAACUGAAGCAGAAAGAGCCAUGCUCACCAGUCUUUCAAGAACUUACAACUGAAUUAAAUUUUUGAGUCUCAAAGUGGAGUUUUUCCUUAUUACAGUCUGCACUCAAAUGUUUAUAAAAGUUGAUAGUAUAUAGUUUGCCUUCAAACAGGACUCAGUGCAAAAGUUGUUGCUUUGAACUUGAAAGAAAAAAAAUGAUAAAGGACAUGCUAUGGGUACACUGAAAUUGUCUGUAUCUUGUGAGAAUGAAGUGUUAGCUUUGGUCUCCAGUGGUAAACCAUGCAGCUGUGUGCUGCUCAAAAGUGCACACGCAAAACUUCCAUCAACUGCCAGAAACCCAGUGUGUCUCCUAUCUCAUUACACGCUAGUUGGGUCAAGAGAAGAAGCACAAAACAGCAGGUGUGAAAAAUCAGAGAGGGUAGGGAAGCAAAAUUUACCUCCCCAAAAUGUCUCUUUGGUGGGUGGAUUAUUUCGAACUGAAAACCGUCAAGGCCCAAAAAGACUCAGGAAGAAACGUUGACCUUCCCGCUAACUGCCUAAAAGAACCCAGACAGAGGGCCUGCUGCCGGAAGAGAGUUCUCACCAGUGGCCUCUGCAGAGGAUCUGGGCUGCGUGUGGAGGGGGGACCUUGAAGGGCCUGAAGAUCAGAGCCCUCCCUGUGUCCCUCGGCCUCUCUAGGACCUAGCAAACAUUUGUUUACCAAACAUUUGCCUUUCCAUCUCCACGUCUUUCCUCUCCUCUCGUUAUUUCAGGUGAGAGCGUCAGCAUUUCGGCGAGGUGCUCCGUUUCACUCGCCCUUUCCCACGGGUACAUGUCCAUUCGACGCUUGUGUGAUUUUCUCCCGUUAAUCUGCCUCACAUCAACUGAAUUCUUAGACCACGCAGAAGAAUGCCGAAGGGUAGAGGAAAAGUUCUGUGUUGCUAAACCUCCCCCUGAAUAUCCUAAGAUGGACACACAUGUUGAGACAACACUAUUUCCAUGAAACAAAGGUCAGGGACCCAAAGGAAAGCUGUGCUGCAGCAAAUUCCACCUCUCAAGGUGGUGCAAACUUAAGCACAUGAAAUGCGAAAGGACUUAAACCGCUGAGAGUUCUGUGGUGCCGCCUGACAGCAGCCCAGCCAAGGAAACACAAGGAGACAGACGAGGCAGUGUAAACAGUGGGUACCAACCACGGCUCCUCAAGAUGUUAGGGAAACAAACUACAGCUGUGGCUUCUGAGGGACCAGACUGCAGCCUGGAGAUUUCAAAGCAAAGUUAUUUGAUGUACAAAUCUGGAUUCAAAGAGCUUUUGCAAAGUGGAAGAAGGUAUCAGAGAAGCACCUUUGGAAACACCUGAAGACCAGACGUGAACCUGCAGAUCGAGAGAUAAGACCUGAUGAGACGAAUACACUACAAAGAUUGAGGGACGAGAACAUGAUCCCAGGACCUUGACUGUCACAUUCUUUGGCAGAGAUGUGCCUGGGAAAACCCUGCAAUUUCAACAAUCGCAAAAACAGAGCGGGCAUGAAAGUCCUAACUUCUCAAAUACAGACCUUAUUUCAAUCUAAUAUCAUCCUGAGAACAUUUACUAAGGCCCAAAUGAAUGAGUUAGCAGGCU